AUGAGGAAGAAGCUCGACACCCGCUUCCCCGCGCCUCGGAUUAAGAAGAUCAUGCAAGCAGAUGAAGAUGUCGGCAAGAUUGCUCUAGCUGUACCUGUUCUAGUUUCCAAAGCGUUGGAGCUAUUUUUGCAAGACUUAUGUGAUAGGACAUAUAAUAUCACUGUUGAAAAAGGGGUCAAAACAGUGAGUUCAUCACAUCUGAAACAGUGCAUUCAUAGUUACGAUGUGUAUGAUUUUUUGAAGAACGUUGCCAGCAAAGUUCCAGAUUUGGGUGCACCUGAUUCUAGUGUUGAUGAUAAGCUUGGCAAAAGAAGGAAACAUGGUGAGGAUGAAAGCGAGGAGGAAUCGAAGCGGACAAGAAAUGAGGCAGCAUGCCACACAAGCAACGGCAGAGGGCGUGGGAGGGGACGUGGGAGAGGUCGCCGUGCUGGGCGUGGAGCUGAGAGGGAGAUUGAACACCAUGAAUUAGGUUGUGCCCAAUUUAGCAAACCAGGCCACCUGAAGGUAGAGAUUGGAGACGGGGUUUUGGACACAAGUGAAACCAAAGAGCACACCCCUUUGAGCAAUGCCAGGGCCUCCUUAAGGAACAUUGACUUGAACUUAGAUCUUGCUGACUACGAGGAGGAUACAGUGGCGCCGCAAGUCCAGCCUUCAGCUCCUGUGGUGACCGUGGCGCCGCAAGUCCAGACUUCAGGACCAUCGGUUUCACAGUUGAAAGAAGAAGUGGCGACCAAGGAUUUCCUGGGCUGGCAAAUGCCUGAGAUGAACAAGAUGGCCAUGGACCCGGUGCAGUUUGCGCUGUCGUCAAACCAUAGAUUAGAGGAGGACGAAGACUAUGACAAUGAAGAAUGA
rnacentral:rRNA from 1 species